GGUAGUCCACGCCGUAAACGAUGUCGACUUGGAGGUUGUUCCCUUGAGGAGUGGCUUCCGGAGCUAACGCGUUAAGUCGACCGCCUGGGGAGUACGGCCGCAAGGUUAAAACUCAAAUGAAUUGACGGGGGCCCGCACAAGCGGUGGAGCAUGUGGUUUAAUUCGAUGCAACGCGAAGAACCUUACCUACUCUUGACAUCCAGAGAACUUAGCAGAGAUGCUUUGGUGCCUUCGGGAACUCUGAGACAGGUGCUGCAUGGCUGUCGUCAGCUCGUGUUGUGAAAUGUUGGGUUAAGUCCCGCAACGAGCGCAACCCUUAUCCUUUGUUGCCAGCGAUUCGGUCGGGAACUCAAAGGAGACUGCCGGUGAUAAACCGGAGGAAGGUGGGGAUGACGUCAAGUCAUCAUGGCCCUUACGAGUAGGGCUACACACGUGCUACAAUGGCGCAUACAAAGAGAAGCGACCUCGCGAGAGCAAGCGGACCUCAUAAAGUGCGUCGCAGUCCGGAUCGGAGUCUGCAACUCGACUCCGUGAAGUCGGAAUCGCUAGUAAUCGUGGAUCAGAAUGCCACGGUGAAUACGUUCCCGGGCCUUGUACACACCGCCCGUCAUACCAUGGGAGUGGGUUGCAAAAGAAGUAGGUAGCUUAACCUUCGGGAGGGCGCUUACCACUUUGUGAUUCAUGACUGGGGUGAAGUCGUAACAAGGUAACCGUAGGGGAACCUGC
rnacentral:rRNA from 1 species